AAUCCCAAAAUCAGUUUUAUCUUAGCUAGAACAAAAAAUUCCCAAUUAUUUUUAACCCCUGUCGUCGUUGUCUUUUCCCUUGAGCCAUCACCGUCCGAUAGUCAUGGCAGUCACCGCCACCAACAUCUUGAUCGCCGCUCAACCGCGACCAAACCCCCUCAACCAAUUUGUUGAAAUACCUCGCCAUUCAUCGUGAAUUGGCGUUUAUUUGGUCGUCGAAAACCCAAAACAACUGCCGCGAGUUUUCACAAUUUUGUGUUGAGAUCCCGAUGCCAGUUCGCAUCACCGCCACCACCGUUGGACUUCUCAUCUAGUUCUGUUCAAAACCCGAUCAGGUACUCGAUACUCUCACGAUCGCUCGUCAGCUUGACUCAGCUCCUCUCAAUUUGUCAUACUGCGUGAGACCGUUCGAGUUCUGCUGUAGAGCAUAGCGAGGCCAGUGCCCAGUAGACUUCCUUGGCUGAUUCAUUUUUUAGAUACUUUUGGAUAGGAACCCUCGGACUAGGCAUUUGGAGGGCCGACACAUUUCGUUCCAAACUUUUUGUUGCAAUGUUUCCAUCUUUCGUAUUGCCUUUAUUUUGAUACUGUUGGCUAGAUACCCCGGAUCAAGCACUUGGAAGAUAACAUCUUGAAGUACAUCUGAAUGUAAUGGUUUUAUCAUGCAAGUUGACUUUACUAUUGGAA